UGGGGAAUUUUGGACAAUGGGCGAAAGCCUGAUCCAGCAAUGCCGCGUGUGUGAAGAAGGCCUUCGGGUUGUAAAGCACUUUUGUCCGGAAAGAAAUCCUUGGCUCUAAUACAGUCGGGGGAUGACGGUACCGGAAGAAUAAGCACCGGCUAACUACGUGCCAGCAGCCGCGGUAAUACGUAGGGUGCAAGCGUUAAUCGGAAUUACUGGGCGUAAAGCGUGCGCAGGCGGUUUGCUAAGACCGAUGUGAAAUCCCCGGGCUCAACCUGGGAACUGCAUUGGUGACUGGCAGGCUAGAGUAUGGCAGAGGGGGGUAGAAUUCCACGUGUAGCAGUGAAAUGCGUAGAGAUGUGGAGGAAUACCGAUGGCGAAGGCAGCCCCCUGGGCCAAUACUGACGCUCAUGCGCGAAAGCGUGGGGAGCAAACAGGAUUAGAUACCCUGGUAGUCCACGCCCUAAACGAUGUCAACUAGUUGUUGGGGAUUCAUUUCCUUAGUAACGUAGCUAACGCGUGAAGUUGACCGCCUGGGGAGUACGGUCGCAAGAUUAAAACUCAAAUGAAUUGACGGGGUCAUAGCUGUUUCCU
rnacentral:rRNA from 1 species